rnacentral:rRNA from 1 species
UAGUCCACGCCGUAAACGAUGAGCACUAGUUAUGGGGGGUAUUGACUCCUUCCGUGACGCAGCUAACGCAUUAAGUGCUCCGCCUGGGGAGUACGGUCGCAAGACUAAAACUCAAAGGAAUUGACGGGGGCCCGCACAAGCGGUGGAUUAUGUGGUUUAAUUCGAAGCAACGCGCAAAACCUUACCUGGGCUUGAACUCCUGAGAAUCUUGGGUAAUUCCGAGAGUGCCCUUCGGGGAAUUCAGUGAGAGGUGCUGCAUGGCUGUCGUCAGUUCGUGUUGUGAAAUGUUGGGUUAAGUCUCGCAACGAGCGCAACCCCUAUCUUUAGUUGCCAGCAUUAAGUUGGGCACUCUAGAGAGACUGCCCGGGUUAACCGGGAGGAAGGUGGGGAUGACGUCAAGUCCUCAUGGCCCUUAUGUCCAGGGCUACACACGUAAUACAAUGGUGCAUACAGAGGGACGCGAACUCGCGAGGGGGAGGCAAAUCUCAAAAAGUGCAUCUCAGUCCGGA